rnacentral:lncRNA from 14 species
CUUUGCUGGUGCUUUUAGUUAUAUGAGAACGCUUGUCUCAGACAAAUCAUUGUUAUUCCACCCUACUUUCAUACUGCUACACCUAUGUUUAAUGUGACUGGUUCUGCUGGUUCUGCUAGGCAUACAGGACUCUGAAAGAUAAUUAGUAUUUGCACCACUGACCUGAGAGAUAAUUUGCUUUUUAUUUUGGACCUAAAGUUGUAUUCAUACUGAUACAGCAGCACAACGGGAUAGUAACUGGAUUAGCUAUGUUUGCCUGGAAAUGAAGCAAUCCUUGAGUGGCAUAAAGACGGAAACUGAGCAUGUCCUUACCCAUCUUUAGCAGCUGAAGCAUCCUGUCAGGAUGAUCCAUUUGGAGACUUCUCAACAAUUAAACAAUCAGUCUGCUGUUGAAAUGAUGGAAACAACUUUGGAUCCACCAAUGUUGAGCAGCGACAAGAAGCUCUGCAGAUGCAGACAAACAAAAAAAAGCAAAGAAAGUAAGACACAACCAGUGAAACAGUGGUGGGAACAUGGCUAUGAAGAAAAUUAAAGCAGCGUUUGGGCCGUCUGUGCUAAAAAGGCUUGAAACUGAGAACAGAGACAUUUGCUGCUAUUACUCUAGUUAAAAUAUGCUGAAAGAAAUAUGCUCAGCCUCUCUAAAAGCCCUGGAUUGCAUCAUAAAAUACCUCUCUGCAUCUUCAUUUUCUUCUACUACUGGAAAUACCCUGUGACUCCUUCCAAACUGACAAAUUAUUCAUGCCAAGAUAGAGAAACAAUAUUUAAAUAAAAAUAUGGGAAGCUGUACA